GGGCAGGCGGCAGGCUACCGUGCGCGUCGAGCGGAACGAGUUAUCAAAGCCUUCGGGUGGAGAUAACGGCGUCGAGCGGCGGACGGGUGAGUAAUGCCUGGGAAAUUGCCCUGAUGUGGGGGAUAACCAUUGGAAACGAUGGCUAAUACCGCAUAAUAGCUUCGGCUCAAAGAGGGGGACCUUCGGGCCUCUCGCGUCAGGAUAUGCCCAGGUGGGAUUAGCUAGUUGGUGAGGUAAUGGCUCACCAAGGCGACGAUCCCUAGCUGGUCUGAGAGGAUGAUCAGCCACACUGGAACUGAGACACGGUCCAGACUCCUACGGGAGGCAGCAGUGGGGAAUAUUGCACAAUGGGCGCAAGCCUGAUGCAGCCAUGCCGCGUGUAUGAAGAAGGCCUUCGGGUUGUAAAGUACUUUCAGCAGUGAGGAAGGUGGUGUCGUUAAUAGCGGCAUCAUUUGACGUUAGCUGCAGAAGAAGCACCGGCUAACUCCGUGCCAGCAGCCGCGGUAAUACGGAGGGUGCGAGCGUUAAUCGGAAUUACUGGGCGUAAAGCGCAUGCAGGUGGUUUGUUAAGUCAGAUGUGAAAGCCCGGGGCUCAACCUCGGAAUUGCAUUUGAAACUGGCAGACUAGAGUACUGUAGAGGGGGGUAGAAUUUCAGGUGUAGCGGUGAAAUGCGUAGAGAUCUGAAGGAAUACCGGUGGCGAAGGCGGCCCCCUGGACAGAUACUGACACUCAGAUGCGAAAGCGUGGGGAGCAAACAGGAUUAGAUACCCUGGUAGUCCACGCCGUAAACGAUGUCUACUUGGAGGUUGUGGCCCUUGAGCCGUGGCUUUCGGAGCUAACGCGUUAAGUAGACCGCCUGGGGAGUACGGUCGCAAGAUUAAAACUCAAAAUGAAUUGACGGGGGGCCCCGCACC
rnacentral:rRNA from 1 species